rnacentral:tRNA from 1 species
GGAAUGGUGGUUCAGUGGUUAGAGCGCCCGCCUCGUGAAUGGGAUGUCGUGGGUUCGAACCCCGGCCGAGUCA